UAAAUACUCCCUCCGUCCCAAAAUAAGUGUCUCAACUUUGUACUAACUCUAGUACAAAGUUAUACUAAGCUUGAGACACUUAUUUUGGGACGGAGGGAGUACCUU
rnacentral:pre_miRNA from 1 species